UACGUAGGGUGCGAGCGUUGUCCGGAAUUAUUGGGCGUAAAGAGCUCGUAGGCGGUCUGUCGCGUCGGCUGUGAAAACUCGGGGCUCAACUCCGAGCUUGCAGUCGAUACGGGCAGGCUAGAGUUCGGCAGGGGAGACUGGAAUUCCUGGUGUAGCGGUGAAAUGCGCAGAUAUCAGGAGGAACACCGGUGGCGAAGGCGGGUCUCUGGGCCGAUACUGACGCUGAGGAGCGAAAGCGUGGGGAGCAAACAGG
rnacentral:rRNA from 1 species